ACUCCUACGGGAGGCAGCAGUGGGGAAUAUUGCGCAAUGGGCGAAAGCCUGACGCAGCCAUGCCGCGUGUGUGAAGAAGGCCUUAGGGUUGUAAAGCACUUUCAAUAGGGAGAAAACGCCUGUAGUUAAUAGCUGCAGGACUUGAUGUUACCUAUAGAAGAAGCACCGGCUAACUCCGUGCCAGCAGCCGCGGUAAUACGGAGGGUGCGAGCGUUAAUCGGAAUUACUGGGCGUAAAGCGCGCGUAGGCGGUUUUUAAGUCGGAUGUGAAAUCCCCGGGCUCAACCUGGGGAACUGCACUCGAUACUGGAAAACUAGAGUACGGAAGAGGAGGUAGAAUUCCACGUGUAGCGGUGAAAUGCGUAGAUAUGUGGAGGAAUACCAGUGGCGAAGGCGGCCUCCUGGUUCGAUACUGACGCUGAGGUGCGAAAGCGUGGGAGCAAACAGGAUUAGAUA
rnacentral:rRNA from 1 species